ACCUUCGGGCCUCUUGCCAUCGGAUGUGCCCAGAUGGGAUUAGCUAGUAGGUGGGGUAACGGCUCACCUAGGCGACGAUCCCUAGCUGGUCUGAGAGGAUGACCAGCCACACUGGAACUGAGACACGGUCCAGACUCCUACGGGAGGCAGCAGUGGGGAAUAUUGCACAAUGGGCGCAAGCCUGAUGCAGCCAUGCCGCGUGUAUGAAGAAGGCCUUCGGGUUGUAAAGUACUUUCAGCGGGGAGGAAGGGAGUAAAGUUAAUACCUUUGCUCAUUGACGUUACCCGCAGAAGAAGCACCGGCUAACUCCGUGCCAGCAGCCGCGGUAAUACGGAGGGUGCAAGCGUUAAUCGGAAUUACUGGGCGUAAAGCGCACGCAGGCGGUUUGUUAAGUCAGAUGUGAAAUCCCCGGGCUCAACCUGGGAACUGCAUCUGAUACUGGCAAGCUUGAGUCUCGUAGAGGGGGGUAGAAUUCCAGGUGUAGCGGUGAAAUGCGUAGAGAUCUGGAGGAAUACCGGUGGCGAAGGCGGCCCCCUGGACGAAGACUGACGCUC
rnacentral:rRNA from 1 species